rfam:Eubacterium sp. CAG:156 genomic scaffold, scf95
AGGAGGAGGAAACAAAAUGAACAAAGUUCAUUUUCUAUAAAUGUUUCCGACGAAUAGCCGCCGACCGAAGGGAGGGGGCAACACAUAUA